AGGGAAAUAGCUCAGUGGUAGAGCACAUGCUUAGCAUGCACGAGGUCCUGGGUUCAAGCCUGAGUGCCUCCA
rnacentral:tRNA from 1 species